rnacentral:lncRNA from 1 species
CUUUCACCACCCAAACUACCAUGGGUUUAUUUUUUUUAACGGAAGCUAUCUGCAUGGAACAAAGAGUUAAAACAAUCUGCUUUGGACAUAAAGCAAGGACCACCGAAAUGCUCCCCUUCCCUCAGAAGAAGUACUUCCUUCCCGUGGGAAGAUCCAGGGAAGAGGAGACGCCUCCUGCCCUUGGGGAUCAAGUUCUGUGGCUGCCCCUUCCCUUCUCUGCAGCUGAUGGAGAUCCCUGUGCUGAGCCUGCAUCAGGGCUUUGAGAAAAUAUAAACUGCACCCAAGCAGCUUCCAGAUUGA